rnacentral:rRNA from 1 species
GAUGAACGCUGGCGGCGUGCCUAAUACAUGCAAGUCGAGCGAACAGACGAGGAGCUUGCUCCUCUGACGUUAGCGGCGAACGGGUGAGUAACACGUGGAUAACCUACCUAUAAGACUGGGCUAACUUCGGGAAACCGGAGCUAAUACCGGAUAAUAUAUUGAACCGCAUGGUUCAAUAGUGGAAGACGGUUUUGCUGUCACUUAUAGAUGGAUCCGCGCCGCAUUAGCUAGUUGGUAAGGUAACGGCUUACCAAGGCGACGAUGGGUAGCCGACCUGGGAGGGUGAUCGGCCACACUGGAACUGAGACACGGUCCAGACUCCUACGGGAGGCAGCAGUAGGGAAUCUUCCGCAAUGGGCGAAAGCCUGACGGAGCAACGCCGCGUGAGUGAGGAAGGUCUUCGGAUCGUAAAACUCUGUUAUUAGGGAAGAACAAAUGUGUAAGUAACUAUGCACGUCUUGACGGUACCUAAACAGAAAGCCACGGCUAACUACGUG